rnacentral:rRNA from 1 species
GACGAACGCUGGCGGCGUGCUUAACACAUGCAAGUCGAACGGAAAGGCCUGCUUUCCCUUGUGGAUUGCGGGUACUCGAGUGGCGAACGGGUGAGUAACACGUGAGUGAUCUGCCCCCAACUUGGGUAUAAGCCUGGGAAACUGGGUCUAAUUCCCGAUAGGACUGCAGGGUGGUGCCUGUGGUGGAAAACGAUUUUCUAGUGGUUGGGGGUGAGCUCGCGGCCUAUCAGCUUGUUGGUGGGGUAAUGGCCUACCAAGGCGGCGACGGGUAGCCGGCCUGAGAGGGUGGACGGCCACAUUGGGACUGAGAUACGGCCCAGACUCCUACGGGAGGCAGCAGUGGGGAAUAUUACACAAUGGGCGGAAGCCUGAUGCAGCGACGCCGCGUGGGGGAUGACGGCCUUCGGGUUGUAAACUCCUUUCGACCGCGAGGAAGCCACCUGGUUGGAAGGGUGGUGACGGUAGUGGUAGAAGAAGCACCGGCUAACUACGUG